rnacentral:rRNA from 1 species
UACAGAGACUGCAAGCGUUAUUCGGAUUCACUGGGCGUAAAGGGUGCGCAGGCGGCCAAGUGUGUUAGGCGUGAAAGCCCGGGGCUUAACCCCGGAAUUGCACCUAAAACUACAUGGCUAGAGCAUUGGAGAGGGUAGCAGAAUUCACGGUGUAGCAGUGAAAUGCGUAGAUAUCAUGAGGAAUACCAGAGGCGAAGGCGGCUACCUGGACAAUUGCUGACGCUCAGGCACGAAAGCGUGGGGAGCAAAAGGG